rnacentral:rRNA from 1 species
ACGAACGCUGGCGGCGUGCUUAACACAUGCAAGUCGAACGGAAAGGCCCUGCUUUUGUGGGGUGCUCGAGUGGCGAACGGGUGAGUAACACGUGAGUAACCUGCCCUUGACUUUGGGAUAACUUCAGGAAACUGGGGCUAAUACCGGAUAGGAGCUCCUGCUGCAUGGUGGGGGUUGGAAAGUUUCGGCGGUUGGGGAUGGACUCGCGGCUUAUCAGCUUGUUGGUGGGGUAGUGGCUUACCAAGGCUUUGACGGGUAGCCGGCCUGAGAGGGUGACCGGCCACAUUGGGACUGAGCUACGGCCCAGACUCCUACGGGAGGCAGCAGUGGGGAAUAUUGCACAAUGGGCGGAAGCCUGAUGCAGCAACGCCGCGUGCGGGAUGACGGCCUUCGGGUUGUAAACCGCUUUCGCCUGUGACGAAGCGUAAGUGACGGUAAUGGGUAAAGAAGCACCGGCUAACUACGUG